rnacentral:rRNA from 1 species
AUGCCGCACCAUGUGCGCCUUUGCCUCGAGGGGCUGCCGCUGCAGGCAUGGGACGCCCAGGCUGUGGCCUCUGCGAUCGGCACCAACUGCUCAAUAGACUACAUCGAGCCGGCGUCUUGCCUGAAGACGGACACAGUGGCGCUCUGCCUGUGGGCGUGGGCGACGUGCCCCAGCAAGAUUCCGAGGGUCAACUGGAUCACCCUACCGGCGCGCGAAGGCGGCGAGCCGGUGUAUGGUCGGCGUGGUCUGCAGCACAGGGUCCUUCUUCACCUCUCCAUCCAUGAGCAGAAGGUGGGCGGGCGCACUGUUUCAGAGGGCUUCACCUGGCGUCGCAACGUCGUCGAUGGCGAGACGGUGCCCAGGGACCGUAGGGAGCGCAUCUCCCGCCCAGCGCCACGUCACGACAGGCGCGACAGUGACGAUGACGAAGACCGUCGCCGCGGUGGAGAUCGGCGCGGCCGUGACGACGCCGCCGGCAGGAGCAGCUGGGGCGCGCGCAUAAGGCGCAGCCUCUCCCGCAAUCACCGCGAAAAGCCGCGGAACCAAGACAGAGGCCGGGGCGACCGCGACGGGAGGGAGGACCGCGGCAACCGUCGCCGUGAUGUCGUGGGCGUGCCGGCCGUGGUCCUGCAGGGCUCAGGCUCCGCCUCCUCGGCUGUGGCCCGCAGCCUGGAGGACGACCCUGCGGUGCCCGCACAGCAGCAACUCCUUCUUGGCUCUGCCCCGACGGUGGUGGACGGUCCGGUGCAGCCGGUGCUGGCUGUGCGGAGAGGGCGCAGCCCGGCCCGGGCACGCUCGCCUGGCAUGAUCCGGCGUCGCUCCCAGGACAACCGGACGCCGCCGUCAUCACCGCCUCUAUCACCAACGUCCGUGCUCCCGCCGGUGCCACGUUCAAAGCGGGAUGAGGCCAGGCGCUCCGCGUCCAUCGGCUUCAUUCCGUCCCAGGCAACUCUGGAGCUUUGCUCCCCUUCCGUGCUGCUGCUGCCUUUGGCUUCGCCAGCAAGGCCACCGGGUUUCGAGAGCUCGCCUACGCCGCCGCUCGUCCCCGCCGGGCCGGUGCGCCGCACACCUUCUCCCCCGCGCAGGCGGGUUGUGGUGGUGGCCGAUGCCGACCUCGAGCCGCUCUUCAAGGAGAGGGUGGAGGCCCUCCUCCCAACGCCUGCUCCUAGGCCUACAACAGCGCGCCGCAAAACGAUGGCUGGGGUGACUAUCAGCCGCGCCGGUGGGUUCACGCUGCAAAGGACAACCGCCAGGCUGCGAGUUGCUGGGCAGGCCAAGGUCACUCCGGUCGCAAAGGCGGCGGAGGCCCUGGUUUGUCGCGGUCUCGGCAUCACCAAGAACGGCCAAGAUGUCACGGUGGAGAUGCUCAACGCUUUCACAGACCGUUUCAAGGAGCAACUUCCACCGGAGGUGAUCAUAGCCAUGAGAGACAUGUUUAAGCUGGACGAUGUCGGAGCGACUGCUGUUGAGGAUGCUCUUCUGCAGCACGGAGGUGCAGGAGCGCUGGAUGUGGACAAUGGCCAGGACGCCAUUUGA